UACAGAGGAGCCAAGCGUUGUCCGGAUUGACUGGGCGUAAAGCGCACGCAGGCGGCACCGCGCGUGGGGUGUGAAAUCUGGCCGCUUAACGGCCAGGCGCCAUCCCAUACGGCGGAGCUGGAGUGAUGCAGAGGUCGAUGGAAUUGCCGGUGUAGUGGUGAAAUGCGUAGAGAUCGGCAGGAACACCCAGGGGGGAAACCAGUCGACUGGGCAUCUACUGACGCUGAGGUGCGAGAGCGUAGGGAGCGAACCGG
rnacentral:rRNA from 1 species